UUCGCAAUGCCCGAAAGGGUGACGAAGCGACGCCGCGUGUGGGAAGAAGGCCUUCGGGUUGUAAACCACUGUCGGGAGUUAAGAAAUGCAAGGAUAUUAAUAGUGUCUUUGUUUGACUAAGGCUCCGGAGGAAGCCACGGCUAACUCUGUGCCAGCAGCCGCGGUAAUACAGAGGCGGCAAGCGUUGUUCGGAAUUAUUGGGCGUAAAGAGCACGUAGGCGGCUAUGUAAGUCGGUUGUGAAAGCCUUCCGCUUAACGGAAGAACGGCAUCCGAUACUGCAUAGCUUGAGUGCGGGAGGGGAGAGUGGAACUUCUGGUGGAGCGGUGAAAUGCGUAGAUAUCAGAAGGAACACCGGCGGCGAAGGCGACUCUCUGGUCCGUAACUGACGCUGAGUGUGCGAAAGCUAGGGGAGCAAACGGGAUUAGAUACCCCGGUAGUCCUAGCCGUAAACGAUGGGCACUAAGUAGAGGGGUUUU
rnacentral:rRNA from 1 species